UACGAAGGGGGCUAGCGUUGCUCGGAAUCACUGGGCGUAAAGCGCACGUAGGCGGAUCGUUAAGUCGGGGGUGAAAUCCUGGAGCUCAACUCCAGAACUGCCUUCGAUACUGGCGAUCUUGAGUCCGGAAGAGGUGAGUGGAACUCCUAGUGUAGAGGUGGAAUUCGUAGAUAUUGGGAAGAACACCGGUGGCGAAGGCGGCCAUCUGGACCGCAACUGACGCUGAGGCGCGAAAGCGUGGGGAGCAAACAGG
rnacentral:rRNA from 1 species